UACGUAGGGGGCAAGCGUUGUCCGGAAUCAUUGGGCGUAAAGAGCGUGUAGGCGGUUCAGUAAGUCUGCUGUGAAAGUCCAGGGCUCAACCCUGGGAUGCCGGUGGAUACUGCUGGACUAGAGUGCGGAAGAGGCGAGUGGAAUUCCCGGUGUAGCGGUGAAAUGCGCAGAUAUCGGGAGGAACACCAAUUGCGAAGGCAGCUCGCUGGGACGUUACUGACGCUGAGACGCGAAAGCAUGGGGAGCGAACAGG
rnacentral:rRNA from 1 species